rnacentral:rRNA from 1 species
GACGAACGCUGGCGGCGUGCCUAAUACAUGCAAGUUGAGCGCUGAAGGUUGGUACUUGUACCGACUGGAUGAGCAGCGAACGGGUGAGUAACGCGUGGGGAAUCUGCCUUUGAGCGGAGGACAACAUUUGGAAACGAAUGCUAAUACCGCAUAAAAACUUUAAACACAAGUUUUAAGUUUGAAAGAUGCAAUUGCAUCACUCAAAGAUGAUCCCGCGUUGUAUUAGCUAGUGGGUGAGGUAAAGGCUCACCAAGGCGAUGAUACAUAGCCGGCCUGAGAGGGUGAUCGGCCACAUUGGGACUGAGACACGGCCCAAACUCCUACGGGAGGCAGCAGUAGGGAAUCUUCGGCAAUGGACGAAAGUCUGACCGAGCAACGCCGCGUGAGUGAAGAAGGUUUUCGGAUCGUAAAACUCUGUUGGUAGAGAAGAACGUUGGUGAGAGUGGAAAGCUCAUCAAGUGACGGUAACUACCCAGAAAGGGACGGCUAACUACGUGCCAGCCGCCGCUGUAACAC